rnacentral:rRNA from 1 species
GAUGAACGCUGGCGGCGUGCCUAAUACAUGCAAGUCGAGCGAACAGAUGAGGAGCUUGCUCCUCUGACGUUAGCGGCGGACGGGUGAGUAACACGUGGAUAACCUACCUAUAAGACUGGGAUAACUUCGGGAAACCGGAGCUAAUACCGGAUAAUAUAUUGAACCGCAUGGUUCAAUAGUGAAAGACGGUUUUGCUGUCACUUAUAGAUGGAUCCGCGCCGCAUUAGCUAGUUGGUAAGGUAACGGCUUACCAAGGCAACGAUUGGUAGCCGACCUGAGAGGGUGAUCGGCCACACUGGAACUGAGACACGGUCCAGACUCCUACGGGAGGCAGCAGUAGGGAAUCUUCCGCAAUGGGCGAAAGCCUGACGGAGCAACGCCGCGUGAGUGAUGAAGGUCUUCGGAGCGUAAAACUCUGUUAUUAGGGAAGAACAAAUGUGUAAGUAACUAUGCACGUCUUGACGGUACCUAAUCAGAAAGCCACGGCUAACUACGUG